rnacentral:rRNA from 1 species
GAUGAACGCUGGCGGCGUGCUUAACACAUGCAAGUCGAACGAAGCUGUUAAAAGGAAGUCUUCGGAUAGAAUUUUAACAGACUUAGUGGCGGACGGGUGAGUAACGCGUGGAUAACCUGCCUUAUACAGGGGGAUAACGGAGAGAAAUUUCCGCUAAGACCGCAUAAGACCACAGCACCGCAUGGUGCGGGGGUAAAAUAUUAAUAGGUAUAAGAUGGAUCCGCGUCCGAUUAGCUAGUUGGUGAGGUAGAGGCUCACCAAGGCGACGAUCGGUAGCCGGCCUGAGAGGGUGAACGGCCACAUUGGGACUGAGACACGGCCCAAACUCCUACGGGAGGCAGCAGUGGGGAAUAUUGGACAAUGGGGGAAACCCUGAUCCAGCGACGCCGCGUGAGUGAAGAAGUAUUUCGGUAUGUAAAGCUCUAUCAGCAGGGAAGAAA